GAGCACCUUCGCCUCCAUAUCCGUGCUCGGACGCUUGGGUGCGACUCUAUUGCGAUGUGCUCCUUCACCAGUCUGUCCAAGGCCUCUUCGCGCAUCGAUACAUGGGCGCAGGUGA
rnacentral:pre_miRNA from 1 species